rnacentral:lncRNA from 1 species
UGCAGGCUUUUCACUACAGUGAAAAAGAGAAGAAAAUCCACAAAAUAUCAUAUAUGUUGGCCUUCAGUUGAAGGUCCAUCUAGCCCGUACACUCAUUCCCAUUGUGGCCAAAAGCAGAUGCCUACAGAAUAUGCAUAUAUGAAAACUUACUAUAAGACUGUCUCUGCUUCUAACUAUUGUCAGGAUAGGGACUUCCAGAAGAGCUUGUGGUUUCCAUGUAUUGAGUACUCUUAGAGGAUUUUUCUUCCGUUCAAUGCUUCUGUCUUUGAACCCACAUAAUGCUUUAGCACCCACGCCAUCCUUUGGCAAGGAGAUCUACAGGUCAGCUGCCUCAGAUGUUGUGCUUGGAGCCCUGCUACUCCAUUAGUUUCAUCUGAUGCUUCCCACCUCGUACUUGAAGAGAGCGAAAAAAAUCAAUCUCCAUUAAUGCUCUCUAUGCCACUAGAGUUUUUGUAAAUCCAUCACCUCUUCCUCCAUUAUCUCUUUUCCAGCUUAAAAAGUCCUAGCUUAGUCAUCCUUCAUGCAGAGCAAUUUUGUACUUGCAAUAUUUAUUGUUGCCCUUCUCUAGACUUUUCCCAGCUGCCUCAUAUAUUUCUUGUAGUGAGGGAAUGAGGACCUUAUAAGGUCAUUAGAAUUGAAAAACUCACACCUUACAUCCCAAAUUCACUGCAAUGCUACUUAUUCAGGCUCAAAACACCUGUCAGUACAGUGAUAAGCAGGCUGUAGGCAGUAAUUUGAGAGCUUGAGCAGCAGGGUUACAGUGACUGGAGCUUCUGAGAUAACUUUUUACAGCCCCAAGUUCAGCCAGGUCUUCCCAUCUCAUCCUUUUCUGCUGUAGCUGACACAUAUGAGAGAUCGCAAGUCCCACGCCAGUGUGGCAGAGUCAUUGUAGUACACACCAAUGGGGAGACCCUUGGAGCAUGGGCCUUCCUGAGAUACAGAGCAGUGAACAGAUGGCCCCUUGCUGCUCACCACAAAUGUGUUAUUAUUACUUCAACCAAAAUCUCCUUUGGAAGAAAGCUAGCCAAUGUUUGUUUUGCUUCCAGAUAGAUAACCUUGAAAAAGGCAAAAACAUAAUAAUAGAGUACAACACAACAAAAUACAACAGAGAACAAAGGGAGGAAGAAAGAAGGAGCAGAAAGAGAGUCUGGUGGGCUGCCAGGAGCCAUGAAAUCUGUGAGCCUGUGUGCAGGAGUAUCAAAGAAUCUCAGGGAAACAACUGAGAAAGGAAAGGAAGCUAUGGUGAUUAUUGCAUGAGUUAGAAACAUGUAACCACAGGCUUUCCA